rnacentral:lncRNA from 1 species
CACAAAACAAGUUUAACAAGUUUUACACCAUUACUUUCCUUUUAUCCAUUAAGUUCAUCAUUUUACAAGACUUUUAGUUGGUGAUCUUUAGUGUUUAUGAUUUUUAGCCAUUAAAUCAUCUAUUAACCAUCAUAAACAAGAACAAGAAGAUGUUUAGAAGCACUUACUACUAGCACAAGGCUAGGGGAGUUCAAGAGGACAAAAGAGGUGGAUAAAAGCAAAUGAAGAAGAGGUGGAUAAAAGCAAAUGAAGAAGGUCCUUCAAGAUCCGCUUGCACCGAGCUUCGUUAGUGGCCUUCUUACUCCUCAAUAUCACCUUGGAAUGGAUGGAUGAUGUUGGAAAAUGAGGGUGGCGGUGGUGCUUGGUUGGGCCGAGAACAAGGGAGGGAGAGAGGGAAGUGAAGAUGGAGUGAUGGAAUGGUGGUAUUUAUAGACCUUCCAUAUAGCAUAUUCCUAGCAUAUUC